rnacentral:tRNA from 1 species
AACAUAGAAGUAAUAUAUACAAUUAGUUUCGACCUAAGAUAAGAGAUAAGAUUCUCCAUGUUUAAUUGAAGCCAAAAAAGAGGCAUCUU